UUAUUUUUGACAACUUUUACUUAACUAUAUAACUGAUGAAAAUAAUAUAGUUUUUACUCCAUCCAUUUUCCCUGACACCCAAAAGUACUCAUUACAUUUUGAAUGCUAUUAAGGAAAGAAAAUGGUCCAAUUCACGUACGCACUUAUCAAGAGAACAUCCCUGGGCCUCUAUGUCACAUCCAAGAGGAAAUAGAGUGCUUGUGUUAGCAGAGACUGCUACAACUCAGCAAUGUUUGUGUGUACUCGCCAAAUGUUUACAUUUUAGCCGGAUUGCCGAGUUGCAGCAGUCUCUGGAAACACGUUAGUGAUCACGCAAGCACUCUUAUCUCCUCUUGGCUGUGACAUAGGCUAACCCUGACCCACUUUUUCUCCCAAAAUCUCUAUCCGUCAAACUGCAGUGCUACUCCAAUUUCCUCUGGUUGUCCCAAUGUCCAUUGGAGAAUGCUGCUGAUAGGCCAGACCAGGAAGGGAAAUCAGCAGUGACUAUUCGGAGGAAUAACCUGUUGUGGACCAUGCAAGUACUUUUUGGAAGCUAGCUGUUUAUGUUUUUCUUACAGUGGCUCACCCCCCGGGCUACCCACUACCCAGUCUUCACCCUGCUGGCCCACCUGGCUCUGUCCCUGCUGCCCUGCCUCUCCAUGUCUCUGGCCCACAGUGUCAACCUACUGAGCAGCCUGCCGGGGCCAGCCGGGCCCUCUGCUUCACUGUCUGCAGCCAAAGCUCAAGAGUUCUAAUACCAGGUCAAGCAACUCGGUUGCUCGGAAACUCAGAGGUGCUGCUUCACCAGGCUGCCAAUCAUAAGAAGUGUAUGAUAACAAACCUGGGCUACUGUAGAUAGCUAGCAAUAUGGUGGUUUUUAUUUUAAGCUGAGGUUUAUCAAUAAAUGCAAACAGAUCAUUUGAUUAGCUAGGUAGCUAUCUAGCUAAUGUUAGUGAGUGCAGCAGCUAGGCUCUGUAGCUAGCUAACACCAGUCAACUGAAAGCUAAUUAGCUAGAAAGGCAAAGAAAGGUAGCUAGCUAUAUUUGGUUAUUUAAGGUUUUUACACAAAUUCCUUCAGCCACUAGCUAGCUAGCUAGCUAGCUAGAGCCAGACAACAACAGCUGACCUCAACACAGAGGUUAGCUCACGUCCAAAUUCCAGUGCUACAUUUUUCCACAAAACAUAGCUAGCUAGUCUGCCUGACACAUUUCAUUGUCAGAAAGGACACAACUCAAACUGAGAAUUGCUAGCUAACUCCACAUGUAAACAGUGCCUUAGCUGUACACCACUGCAGUGUGCAAAUGCAUGCUUUUUAGCAUUUAAAAAAAUCACCAGUUUCUAGCAUCCAUAAUAAAUUCCAG
rnacentral:lncRNA from 1 species